CAUACCAUCUGCAAAAGUGGACAACCCAAGGUAUUGCAAAUGGGGUAUGUCCAGUCUUUUUUAGUAGCCACUUAGUCACAAUCACUGGCCAAAAUUGGCGUUCAAAUUAGUUUUUUGCAUUUUUCACACACAAACAAAUAUGAACACUAAUUUUGACCAGUGUUUGUGAAGAAGUGGCUACUAAAAAAGACCCAAAAGUAAAUACCGUGGGUUGUUUACUUUUGCAAAUGGUAUG